rnacentral:siRNA from 1 species
GCGGAAGCGUCGUUCGGACCGCCU